AUUGAACGCUGGCGGCAGGCUUAACACAUGCAAGUCGAGCGAGCGGCGGACGGGUGAGUAAUGUCUGGGAAACUGCCUGAUGGAGGGGGAUAACUACUGGAAACGGUAGCUAAUACCGCAUACCAUCAGAUGUGCCCAGAUGGGAUUAGCUAGUAGGGGGGGUACUGGCUCACCUAGGCGACGAUCCCGAGCGGGUCUGAGAUGAUGACCAGCCAAACUGGACCUAAGACACGGUCCAGACUCGUACGGUAGGCAGCAGUGGGGAAUAUUGCACAAUGGGCGCAAGCCUGAUGCAGCCAUGCCGCGUUUGUGAAGAAGGCCUUCGGGUUGUAAAGCACUUUAAGCGAGGAGGCGUUACUCGCAGAAGAAGCACCGGCUAACUCCGUGCCAGCAGCCGCGGUAAUAC
rnacentral:rRNA from 1 species